AUAAGAAGGCGGUGAGGGGCGUGGCCUAUCAUCGGCUCUACCCGCUGUUCGCCUCGGCCUCCGAUGACGGAACUGUUAUCGUCUGUCACGGGACAGUUUACAAUGACCUCCUGCAGAACCCGCUGAUCGUCCCGGUGAAGGUUCUCCGAGGUCAUGACAUCACUCACGACCUCGGCGUCCUGGACGUGACCUUUCACCCCACGCAGCCCUGGGUCUUCUCUUCUGGAGCAGACGCCACCAUCAGACUCUUCACCUAGCAACCGCUGCCUGGCAACCGCCUGCCUGGCUCUUUUUAACACAGCUCUGUGUUGUUACCAUGGUGAUUCUGUCUCUAAUCAAUGUUUAAAGUCGUGCUGCGUUGAAACGUGUGAAUAUUUAAACUUUUCUGUUUUUCUAAACUCUGAUUAAACGAUUACAGAACUUUG